UACGGGAGGCAGCAGUGGGGAAUAUUGCACAAUGGGCGCAAGCCUGAUGCAGCCAUGCCGCGUGUAUGAAGAAGGCCUUCGGGUUGUAAAGUACUUUCAGUCGUGAGGAAGGUGUUAAGGUUAAUAACCUUAGCAAUUGACGUUAGCGACAGAAGAAGCACCGGCUAACUCCGUGCCAGCAGCCGCGGUAAUACGGAGGGUGCGAGCGUUAAUCGGAAUUACUGGGCGUAAAGGGCACGCAGGCGGUUAAUUAAGUUGGAUGUGAAAUCCCCGGGCUUAACCUGGGAAUGGCAUUCAAGACUGGUUAGCUAGAGUCUUGUAGAGGGGGUAGAAUUCCAUGUGUAGCGGUGAAAUGCGUAGAGAUGUGGAGGAAUACCGGUGGCGAAGGCGGUCCCUGGACAAGACUGACGCUCAUGUGCGAAAGCGUGGGGAGCAAACGAGGAUUAGAUACC
rnacentral:rRNA from 1 species